GAUGAACGCUGGCGGCGUGCCUAAUACAUGCAAGUCGAGCGAACGGACGAGAAGCUUGCUUCUCUGAUGUUAGCGGCGGACGGGGGAGUGACACGUGGAUAACCUACCUAUAAGACUGGGAUAACUUCGGGAAACCGUAGCUAAUACCGGAUAAUAUUUUGAACCGCAUGGUUCAAAAGUGAAAGACGGUCUUGCUGUCACUUAUAGAUGGAUCCGCGCUGCAUUAGAUAGUUGGUAAGGUAACGGCUUACCAAGGCAACGAUGCAUAGCCGACCUGAGAGGGUGAUCGGCCACACUGGAACUGAGACACGGUCCAGACUCCUACGGGAGGCAGCAGUAGGGAAUCUUCCGCAAUGGGCGAAAGCCUGACGGAGCAACGCCGCGUGAGUGAUGAAGGUCUUCGGAUCGUAAAACUCUGUUAUUAGGGAAGAACAUAUGUGUAAGUAACUGUGCACAUCUUGACGGUACCUAAUCAGAAAGCCACGGCUAACUACGUG
rnacentral:rRNA from 1 species